AGCAGCCGCGGUAAUUCCAGCUCCAAUAGCGUAUAUUAAAGUUGUUGCAGUUAAAAAGCUCGUAGUUGAAUUUCGGAAUCAAUGGAUCGGUCAUGCCACUCGGUGUGUACUGGUUUGAUUGGUUCUCACCUUCUAAGGAACCGUGAUGUCAUUAAUUUGGUGUCGCGGGGAAUUAGGACUGUUACCUUGAAAAAAUUAGAGUGUUUAAAGCAAGCUCACGCUUGAAUACAUUAGCAUGGAAUAAUGAAAUAGGACAUUGUAUUCUAUUUUGUUGGUUUCUAGGAUCGAUGUAAUGAUUAAUAGGGAUAGUUGGGGGCAUUAGUAUUCAAUUGUCAGAGGUGAAAUUCUUGGAUUUAUUGAAGACUAACUACUGCGAAAGCAUUUGCCAAGGAUGUUUUCAUUAAUCAAGAACGAAAGUUAGGGGAUCGAAGACGAUCAGAUACCGUCGUAGUCUUAACCAUAAACUAUGCCGACUAGGGAUCGGAUGAUGUUAAUUUUUAAUGAUC
rnacentral:rRNA from 1 species